rnacentral:rRNA from 1 species
UGCAGUCGAACGGAUUGCGCCUGCUUUUGUGGGUGUGGUUAGUGGCGAACGGGUGANUAACACGUGAGUAACCUGCCCCCUUCUUUGGGAUAAGCUCCUGAAAGGGUGUCUAAUACUGAUUAUUCUGCUGGUCUCGCAUGGGGCUGGUUGGAAAGCUUUUGUGGUUGGGGAUGGGCUCGCGGCUUAUCAGCUUGUUGGUGGGGUAAUGNCUUACCAAGGCUUUGACGGGUANCCGGCCUGANAGGGUGGUCGGNCACAUUGGGACUGANAUACGGCCCANACUCCUACGGGAGGCAGCAGUGGGGAAUAUUGCACAAUGNGCNAAAGCCUGAUGCAGCGACNCCNUGUGAGGGAUGAAGGCCUUCGGGUUGUAAACCUUUUUCGCUCUUGACCAAGGGCCGCUUUUGNNGUGGUUUGAGGGUAUGGGGUAAAGAAGCACCGGCUAACUACGUGCCAGCCGCC